AUUGAACGCUGGCGGCAGGCCUAACACAUGCAAGUCGAACGAGUGGCGGACUGGUGAGUAAUGUCUGGGAAACUGCCUGAUGGAGGGGGCUAACUACUGGAAACGGUAGCUAAUACCGCAUACCAUCAGAUGUGCCCAGGUUGGAUUAGCUGGUUGGUGGGGUAACGGCUCACCAAGGCGACGAUCCCUAGCUGGUCUGAGAGGAUGACCAGCCACAAUGGGACUGAGACACGGCCCAGACUCCUACGGGAGGCAGCAGUGGGGAAUAUUGCACAAUGGGCGCAAGCCUGACGCAGCAAUGCCGCGUGAGUGAAGAAGGCCUUCGGGUUGUAAAGUACUUUCGGCGGGGAGGCGGUACCCGAAGAGAAAGCACCGGCUAACUCCGUGCCAGCAGCCGCGGUAAUUC
rnacentral:rRNA from 1 species